UUCAUUUAUUGGCGUUUGUGUUUAGGCCGUGACUUGUGUGACUUCCGAUUUGGUUGUCUUCCAUGUGUUUUGUUGGCUUGCCCACGUUGACAUUAGAAGGAAACUUCUGAGGGCAUCUUCCAGGUAAACCGUGCUGGUGGUCUGUGAUCUCCAUUUCGGUUCUUUCUUAGUACAGCAAACAGAGGGGAGGACAUGAGGCACUUAUUUGUGAUAGAAAUAAUAGAAGAUAAGAACAAUAAUUGAAGAAGCUUUAUUAUAGAAAUGAAAUAGCUUUAGCUUGAAUCUAUUAACAUGUUCCUUCUCCUAUUUAUAUAAAUUAGGAGGGAGGAUUUCCCUAACAGAAUAGAGGAUUUUCCUCAACAGAAUAGAGAAAUUUCCUCAUAUAGUUAGGAAAAUCUUAUCUUCUAUCAUGCCCCCGCAAGAUGGUGCUCUUGACAAGGAUACCAAUCUUGGAUCGAUGCAAAGAAUUGUUUACAAAUGAGAGGCUUCAUGAGUAAGAUAAGUGUAGAUCGCUGCUGCUGUUGUUGCGAUUGUUGUUGCUGUGAUGGCACAGGCGUUCCCUUCAUUUUCCUUAAGUCUGUCGAAUGUUGACAGAUCAGCGAAGACUACCGCGGUGAGGAAGAAGAAGAAGAGAGGAAAGAGAGGUGGCAGGAGGCUAGAAGCCGAAACAAGAGAAGAAGACAGGAUCGGUGUUGAGAGCUCGCUUUUGCUCUGCGCUAGGCGACGUUGGACGCUGCAAUCUGGGGGAGCCUUCAAUGGCGCCGGUCAAAAGGAAGCAAUCCGUCAUCAUAACCAGCAAAUGAGAGGCUUCAUGAAUCAGCGAAGACUACCGCGGUGAGGAAGAUGAGGAUUGACCACGGAGCCUCUUAGGAAUGCAACGGCAUUGGUCGCUAGCCGAAGGGUGAAGCUUCACUUUUCUUAGCGACGUUGGUCACUGGCCGAAGGCAAGAGUGAAGCUUCGCUUUUCUCAACGACGUUGGUCGUGGUCGGAACGAGGAAGAAAGGUGGGGCAGUGCUGAUGAGCAGCACUAAAGAUGCCGUAGCGGAAGGUAACGGACGUUGGCGCAGAGUGGCAACACCAAUGAUGAAUUGGCAGCAAGAAGAGAGCUUGCUCUAAGCAAGCGGCUCUGAUACCAUGAUAGAAAUAAUAGAAGAUAAGAACAAUAAUUGAAGAAGCUUUAUUAUAGAAAUGAAAUAGCUUUAGCUUGAAUCUAUUAACAUGUUCUUCUCCUAUUUAUACAAAUUAGGAGGGAGGAUUUCCCUAACAGAAUAGAGGAUUUUCCUCAACAGAAUAGAGAAAUUUCCUCAUAUAGUUAGGAAAAUCUUAUCUUCUAUCAAUUUGACCUUGAAAGUUCUCUGAUUUUGGUCAGUAUGGUGGAUUAAUAAUCAUAUGAUUAAGACCUAAACAGAUGGUGGUACAAAAUAUUAAUUGACGUGAGACUGUUAGUAAUAUGAGACAUGAGCUUUUGAUCGAUCAUGCACUAAUAUUUUCAGCUGAAAAAAGCUUAUACAGCCAAGUAUAUGAACGUACAAUACCUUGGAAAUAUAUAUAUUCAAUAACAAAA